rnacentral:rRNA from 1 species
GAAGACCAAGGGUUCCUGUCCAACGUUAAUCGGGGCAGGGUAAGUCGACCCCUAAGGCGAGGCCGAAAGGCGUAGUCGAUGGGAAACGGGUUAAUAUUCCCGUACUUCUUACAAUUGCGAUGGGGGGACGGAGAAGGCUAGGUGGGCCUGGCGACGGUUGUCCAGGUUCAAGUGCGUAGGCUUGAGAGUUAGGUAAAUCCGGCUCUUUUUAAGGCUGAGACACGACGUCGAGCCACUACGGUGGUGAAGUCAUUGAUGCCAUGCUUCCAGGAAAAGCCUCUAAGCUUCAGAUUGUAAGGAAUCGUACCCCAAACCGACACAGGUGGUCGGGUAGAGAAUACCAAGGCGCUUGAGAGAACUCGGGUGAAGGAACUAGGCAAAAUGGUACCGUAACUUCGGGAGAAGGUACGCUCUCGACGGUGAAGUCCCUCGCGGAUGGAGCUAUUGAGAGUCGCAGAUACCAGGUGGCUGCAACUGUUUAUUAAAAACACAGCACUGUGCAAAAUCGUAAGAUGACGUAUACGGUGUGACGCCUGCCCGGUGCCGGAAGGUUAAUUGAUGGGGUUAGACUUCGGUCGAAGCUCUUGAUCGAAGCCCCGGUAAACGGCGGCCGUAACUAUAACGGUCCUAAGGUAGCGAAAUUCCUUGUCGGGUAAGUUCCGACCUGCACGAAUGGCGUAAUGAUGGCCACGCUGUCUCCACCCGAGACUCAGUGAAAUUGAAAUCGCUGUGAAGAUGCAGUGUACCCGCGGCUAGACGGAAAGACCCCGUGAACCUUUACUACAGCUUGGCACUGAACAUUGACCCUACAUGUGUAGGAUAGGUGGGAGGCUUUGAAGCACGUACGCCAGUAUGUGUGGAGCCGUCCUUGAAAUACCACCCUUGUAGUGUUGAUGUUCUAACGUCGACCCCUUAUCGGGGUUGCGGACAGUGCCUGGUGGGUAGUUUGACUGGGGCGGUCUCCUCCCAAAGAGUAACGGAGGAGCACGAAGGUGGGCUAAUCACGGUUGGACAUCGUGAGGUUAG